rnacentral:lncRNA from 1 species
CUCGGCCUUCCUUCCAGUCACUCUCCUCCUCUCCGUGCCCACUCGUGUCCGCGUGCAUAAAGCGACCUCCUCGCGGGCUUCUCUCCUCACAGAGGAUGGAGGUUGACGGAGGCCGCCUCGUGCGCGUCAAGAGGAGGCGCGUGCGGAAGCUGGCAGUGGGCGUGGCCGUGCAGAACGUGCUCGUGGUCGUCUGCCUGCUGCUCACGCUCUACUUGUACCGGGACUUCAAAGCCUGGACGCCUCAGGAUGACAUACACAUACAGUUUGAUUCCGUUAAAGCCACCUCAGGAAACAAAACAGUGCACUUCCUCGACAUCAUCAGCAGUUACAUGAUGGACCUGAAUGAGCAGAAGGACCAGAUCUUCAUCCGCUGUGCUGGGUUCUACAUAUGGCACGUGCACGUGUGCUACAGGAGCCUGAGCCUGCAGGAGACUGGGACGCUGCAGCUGCAGGCGGCGGGUAGCGCGGUGAGCUCCUUCGCACUCAGCGCUUCACGGGAGGUUUGCAGAGGACUGCACAGCAUCGUCUACCUCAGGAACAAGCAGAGAGCCAGUCUGCACUCGUCCACCGUCAUAGGCUUCAAGAUCAGUAACCUCACCAUGGGCCUGAGGUAUCUGCAGGGAAAGAAGUGUGUUUAUUAAUGGUUAACACUGACUCCACAGACUGUUGGGUGCUUUUACAAUUAUCAAAUGAUAAAAGACGGAGGAAUGUGAUGAUCUUUUUAAGGUUUGUUUCCAUAACAUUUACCUGGAUUAUGUCUGCAGUGUAGGGCUGGGCAAUAUGGAC